GGGCCUGUAGCUCAGUUGGGAGAGCGCUGCGUUCGCAAUGCAGAGGUCAGGAGUUCAAGUCUCCUCAGGUCCACCA
rnacentral:tRNA from 1 species